rnacentral:sRNA from 1 species
UCCCCUGGGGGGAACUUAGUUGCUUAGGAGGAGGUAAAUGGACUUCUUUUACGAAUCCAUAUUAAUGUUUAAAUGACUAAUGGUAUCAAAAUCCUCCCCAAAAUAGAUACAUUUUUAAAGAAUGUGGCCAAAUGAAGUAACUAAUAUCGAGUAAACAUUUUAGAGGAUGAGGGUCAUUUAGACCUGCCAGUCUAUGCUGAAAUCUCACUCUCUUUUCCCUACAACUCCAGCUCUCUUGAAAUGAAAAGUUUACAAUUAUUUCCUGUGAUCUAUUUAUGAAACUACAAAUGAUAGAAAUUUCCAAGUCCUUUUCCUAUCUCCCACCCCUUCAUUUCUGAAGGUAACAGGGCAGGCAUAAGGGCACACGAUGUACCUAUGGAUCUUUUGUACAUUCAGUGUUUGAGUUUACCCUUUUCUUUCAUGACUUGCCACCAUUUUCCUGCAACCACUUUUGCUCAUAAAUAAGCACUUUUUAUCAACAUUUUAUAGAGUACAAACUUUUUUCUUUUAAAUCUAAUUCUUUUUUGAUUAAAUUCUUGCUGUAUAUACUAUAUACUUUUAAAAGGAAAUUUAUUUCUAUUUUUGCAUUCAUCAGCAAGAUAACCGAGUACUGGUUGCUUGCCUAUCAAAGUGUUCAUAUAGUAUAAUUAAAUUGUAGCAACUAACAGUGUGACAAUUAUCAGUUUCAGCAUCAGGCAAGUGGCUGGAUGGUAUUCGAAAAUGGUAUUACAAUGCUGCAGGAUUCAAUAAACUGGGGUUAAUGCGAGAUGAUACAAUAUACGAGGAUGAAGAUGUAAAAGAAGCCAUAAGAAGGCUUCCUGAGAACCUUUAUAAUGACAGGAUGUUUCGCAUUAAGAGGGCACUGGACCUGUCCUUGAAGCAUCAGAUCUUGCCUAAAGAGCAGUGGACCAAAUAUGAAGAGGAAAAUUUCUAUCUUGAACCGUAUCUGAAAGAGGUUAUUCGGGAAAGAAAAGAAAGAGAAGAAUGGGCAA